rnacentral:rRNA from 1 species
GACGAACGCUGGCGGCGUGCUUAACACAUGCAAGUCGAGCGGAAAGGCCCUUUCGGGGGUACUCGAGCGGCGAACGGGUGAGUAACACGUGAGUAAUCCGCCCCUGGCUUUGGGAUAGCCACCGGAAACGGUGAUUAAUACCGGAUACGACCACUUCUCGCAUGGGAUGGUGGUGGAAAGUUUUUCGGCCAGGGAUGUGCUCGCGGCCUAUCAGCUUGAUGGUGAGGUAAUGGCUCACCAUGGCUUCGACGGGUAGCCGGCCUGAGAGGGUGACCGUUCACCCUGGGGCUGAGGCACGGCCCAGACUCCUACGGGAGGCAGCAGUGGGGAAGAUUGGACAAUGGGCGGAAGCCUGAUCCAGCAACGCCGCGUGAGGGAUGACGGCCUUCGGGUUGUAAACCUCUUUCAGCAGGGACGAAGCGCAAGUGACGGUACCUGCAGAAGAAGCACCGGCCAACUACGUGCCAGCCGCCGCCGUAA